rnacentral:rRNA from 1 species
UACUUUGAAGAAAUUAGAGUGCUCAAAGCAAGCCUACGCUCUGUAUACAUUAGCAUGGCAUAACAUCAUAGGAUUUCGAUCCUAUUGUGUUGGCCUUCGGGAUCGAAGUAAUGAUUAACAGGGACAGUCGGUGUGAUAACCCGCCCUUU